GUGAGCUGAGAGACUAUAGGCGCUUUCGCAUCGCGUAGUUCAAGGAACUAGCCAGCAGGGUCGUUCCUAGAGAACCAAUUUCUCCAUCGGGCCGUUUUCCUGGUUGCAUUCGCACCAGCAGCAGGAUUGGCGGCAUUAACAAACAUCAACAACCGGUGAAUGUUCGGAGCUGUUUUUUUGUUGCGUGCUGUGGGUUUCGUGACAACGGAGAUGGAAUAGCCUAUAAACGCACAAUUUAUGCGAUUGAAAGAACAUGAAAAUCUACUAAAUCUCCUAUGACAAUUUGUAGUGUUAUCAUCGAGGCUGAGAAAAGAACACAACGCUGCAGACAACAGAAUGCCCUGCAAAUCAGGAAAUAUCAUGCGAAAACCUGCGCUCGUCCAAUAGAUACAUAUAUACACUGUGCCACUGGAGAUCCCGUGCUCUGAAAAGUGCGAACAAGGAUGGUACUAUCAGGUGGGAACGUUUGAUGUUCUGAAUUUAAUUGUUAUAGGCUCUAGUUAUCAUUUAAAACAGCCAAAUGUUUAGUAACUCCUCGGUUUGCUGUUGUCUGUAUAGAAUGGGACGUUUAUUGUCGACUCAACUCCGAAUGCCGGUGGAAGGAGGUUACCGGUUGUAGUGGAUGUAACGCCUCAGAAUCUGACAAUCCGUGUCUGCGAGAAUCUGCAGUGGCAACUUGACUGUGGCAAGGUAGUAAUGAGUGUUGGUUUCAUUUACACACAAUAAAUAAGCCUGUCU
rnacentral:lncRNA from 1 species